GUAGUCGUAGCUCAAGCAUCAGCGGCAGGAGCUCUGGGCAGCGUGCGCACGUGGGGUACCUAGCUCGCUCUGCUAGCCUACCAUGGCUGAUCACCACCGGGGUGCGACGGGAGGUGGCGGGGGCUACGGCGACCUCCAGCGCGGGGGCGGCAUGCACGGCGAGGCGCAGCAGCAGCAGAAGCAGGGCGCCAUGAUGACGGCGCUCAAGGCCGCGACGGCCGCGACCUUCGGCGGGUCGAUGCUGGUGCUGUCCGGGCUGAUCCUGGCCGGCACCGUGAUCGCGCUCACGGUGGCCACCCCCGUGCUGGUGAUCUUCAGCCCGGUGCUGGUGCCGGCCGCCAUCGCGCUGGCGCUCAUGGCGGCCGGGUUCGUCACCUCCGGCGGCCUCGGCGUCGCUGCGCUGUCCGUGUUCUCCUGGAUGUACAAGUACCUGACGGGCAAGCACCCGCCGGGCGCCGACCAGCUGGACCACGCCAAGGCGAGGCUGGCGUCCAAGGCCCGCGACAUCAAGGAUGCAGCACAGCACCGCAUCGACCAGGCGCAGGGGUCUUGAGAGAAGAACCACACUCGAGCGGACCGCGCGCGCGACCUCCUUGAACCACUGCCGGCGCGGCGGCAUAUGGCCCUUAAAGGCGGUGGCUGCUGCUACGUACGCUGCCGUAGAGUCUCGGUCGCCGCGAUAGCUCUAGCUAGUCGUUUAUGUGUUGUGCUUUGUGUGUGCAUGCUUGUGUCUGGGGGCAUGCAGUGCAGUGCAGUACUAUAUGCUGUAUGCGUCUCUCUUUGAUCGGAGAGGCGGAUGUACAGCAUGCUCGAUAUGUCUAGUUUGGAUGUCAUGUUUAUGAUGAGGAAUAAAAUGCAGUGUUCAGGUGAGAUGCUACGGUUUCCUGGAGUACAUGCGAUUUGGA
rnacentral:lncRNA from 1 species